UAUACUUUGUAUAGAUUCCUUCCUACUUUGGUCUCCUGUGCCCUAGAGUGGAGCCUGGAGCAAAGGCUGAACGCUUCUUUCCCUGGCUCUACCCUCUCUGUUUCCUGGACUCUUCCCAGUCAGUGGUCUGCUCUUUGCCCCCCUCCCCCAUCCACAUUUGGCCUUAGCGACUCCUCCCCUACUCCACAUCUGUCCUUGGUGUCUGUCUCCAAUUCCAUCCACAUCUGUACUGUAGCCCUCCCUCCUUGGCCUCCUUGUCACCUCCCCCAGCCUCGGCCUCCCUUUUUUCUGUGUCCCCCUUUCCCUUCCCCCUCCUUUCCCUUCCUCCUGAGCAUGCUCUUCCUCCCUUCUCCUUUCUCAAUCCCUCUAUUCCAGCUCACUCUCUCGGCUCAUUGUUCCCUUUUUCCUCUUCUUCUCCCCUGUGCUUGGAGAUCCCUCCCACUACCACCCACACAGAGGGAACCAGCAGCAGGCCCGUGCAGCUCAGAGGCGGAUUGUCUUCUCUUCCUCUCUAGCCAGCGGCCUUGGGCUCUGCCUAGAUCUUGGCCUCCUCUCCCUGGGGGUGAGGCUGGUGGCAGGAAUGUGCAGCUGCAGACGCCUCCUCUGCCACCUCUGGACUGGAACCCUGGGCCUCCCGGCUGACCCAGUAACUGAAUCAGCCCCUGGACUCUGGAAGGGAGGGGGGCUUGGGAUGGGGUUGAGGGAGCAUCAUCUGGUCUAGUUCUCUUGGAGUCUCUGUCAGGGUGUCUCUCUGUCUUGCUCUGCAUGGCUGUCUCCCUCCCUCUCCUUCUCUUGCUUUCUGUCUCUUUCUGUCUUUCUGUGUGUGUGUCUCUCUGCCAGUGUCUCUCUUUGUCUCUGUAACUGGCAUUCCUUGUGUCAUGGUGGGUGUCUGGCUAUCUCUGUUUCUCUCAAUGUCUCUGCCCCUUUCUAUCUCUAUGCACACUUUUCAGCCAAGGCCUGAGGCUGCUUCCUUGUGGUGGUCUAGGACAAAAGGGAGGUAGGGGGUCAGAGCCUGGGGCAUGGGAUUACCCUGGCCUCAAGGGGCUGUGUGCCCACAUGGGUGAGAGGGGCAUCAGGGGAGUCCUUCCAGACUUGGGCAAAGCCAGAGCCUACUAUGGGAUCUAAGGCCUGUGGGCCAUGUGGGACCCAUGUGAUGCAUGUGUAAUGCCCAUGUAAUAUUGUGAUAUAUGUGUGCCCCCCUCCCCAUCCCCUCGAGAGCAGAGCAGACCCCUGGUCUCCAGGACAACGGGAAGAGGAGGAGAGGAGGAGGAGGAGGAGGAGGAGAGGAGGAGGAGGAGGAGGAGGAGGAGGAGGAGGAAAGACUGGUGGCCUUUGAGAGCCCUUCCCCCUGGGGACCACAACAAGGAGGCAGGCGAUUCAACCAUAACCGCCCGCUGCCGCCGCCUCCUCCGCCUCCGCCGCCGCCGCUGCCAUCGCCGGCCCACGUAGCCCAAGCCCCGG
rnacentral:lncRNA from 1 species